UGGGGAAUUUUGGACAAUGGGGGAAACCCUGAUCCAGCCAUCCCGCGUGUGCGAUGAAGGCCUUCGGGUUGUAAAGCACUUUUGGCAGGAAAGAAACGUCGCGGGUUAAUACCCCGCGAAACUGACGGUACCUGCAGAAUAAGCACCGGCUAACUACGUGCCAGCAGCCGCGGUAAUACGUAGGGUGCAAGCGUUAAUCGGAAUUACUGGGCGUAAAGCGUGCGCAGGCGGUUCGGAAAGAAAGAUGUGAAAUCCCAGAGCUUAACUUUGGAACUGCAUUUUUAACUACCGGGCUAGAGUGUGUCGGAGGGAGGUGGAAUUCCGCGUGUAGCAGUGAAAUGCGUAGAUAUGCGGAGGAACACCGAUGGCGAAGGCAGCCUCCUGGGAUAACACUGACGCUCAUGCACGAAAGCGUGGGGAGCAAACAGGAUUAGAUACCCUGGUAGUCCACGCCCUAAACGAUGUCAACUAGCUGUUGGGGCCUUCGGGCCUUGGUAGCGCAGCUAACGCGUGAAGUUGACCGCCUGGGGAGUACGGUCGCAAGAUUAAAACUCAAAUGAAUUGAC
rnacentral:rRNA from 1 species